rnacentral:rRNA from 1 species
AACAAACGCUGGCGGCGUGCCUAAUACAUGCAAGUCGAACGGGGAAAGUAGCAAUACGAGUACUAGUGGCGCACGGGUGAGGAAUACAUGGGUAAUCUGCCCUCGAGCUCGGGAUAACCAGUCGAAAGACUGGCUAAUACCGGAUAUGACCACAAGAUCUGAGGAUCAAGGGGUAAAAGGUUUUUCGCUUGAGGAUGAGCCCAUGUGGGAUUAGCUAGUUGGUGUAGGUAACGGCUCACCAAGGCGACGAUCCCUAACUGGUCUUAGAGGAUGAUCAGUCACACUGGAACUGAGACACGGUCCAGACUCCUACGGGAGGCAGCAGUAGGGAAUAUUGCACAAUGGAGGAAACUCUGAUGCAGCGACGCCGCGUGAGUGAUGAAGGCCUUCGGGUCGUAAAGCUCUGUCGUAUGGGACUAACAAAAUAGAAGGUACCAUGCAAGAAAGGAUACGGCGUAACUUCGUGCCAGCAGCCGCGGUAA